UAGAGUUUGAUCCAUGGCUCAGAUUGAACGCUGGCGGCAGGCCUAACACAUGCAAGUCGAGCGGUAGAGAGAAGCUUGCUUCUCUUGAGAGCGGCGGACGGGUGAGUAAUGCCUAGGAAUCUGCCUGGUAGUGGGGGAUAACGUUCGGAAACGGACGCUAAUACCGCAUACGUCCUACGGGAGAAAGCAGGGGACCUUCGGGCCUUGCGCUAUCAGAUGAGCCUAGGUCGGAUUAGCUAGUUGGUGAGGUAAUGGCUCACCAAGGCGACGAUCCGUAACUGGUCUGAGAGGAUGAUCAGUCACACUGGAACUGAGACACGGUCCAGACUCCUACGGGAGGCAGCAGUGGGGAAUAUUGGACAAUGGGCGAAAGCCUGAUCCAGCCAUGCCGCGUGUGUGAAGAAGGUCUUCGGAUUGUAAAGCACUUUAAGUUGGGAGGAAGGGCAGUAAAUUAAUACUUUGCUGUUUUGACGUUACCGACAGAAUAAGCACCGGCUAACU
rnacentral:rRNA from 1 species